GAUGAACGCUGGCGGCGUGCCUAAUACAUGCAAGUCGAGCGAACAGACGAGGAGCUUGCUCCUCUGACGUUAGCGGCGGACGGGUGAGUAACACGUGGAUAACCUACCUAUAAGACUGGGAUAACUUCGGGAAACCGGAGCUAAUACCGGAUAAUAUAUUGAACCGCAUGGUUCAAUAGUGAAAGACGGUUUUGCUGUCACUUAUAGAUGGAUCCGCGCCGCAUUAGCUAGUUGGUAAGGUAACGGCUUACCAAGGCAACGAUGCGUAGCCGACCUGAGAGGGUGAUCGGCCAACCCGGAACUGGGAAACGGUCCAGACCCCUACGGGGGGCAGCAGUAGGGAAGCUUCCGCAAUGGGCGAAAGCUUGACGGAGCAACGCCGCGUGAGUGAUGAAGGUCUUCGGAUCGUAAAACUCUGUUAUUAGGGAAGAACAAAUGUGUAAGUAACUAUGCACGUCUUGACGGUACCUAAUCAGAAAGCCACGGCUAACUACGUG
rnacentral:rRNA from 1 species